GAUUAUGUCCUCAACCCAUGUCUACCAGACUUCCAUUAUCAGAAAUUCUUCCCAUAUCCUAGCAGUAAUCUGCAGAUCUCAGACUUGCUUUUGUUCUUCUCUUUCUAGAUAGGUAUUUCAACGGAUAACAAAGACGUGCCCACUUUUUGAGAUCUGAAUCUAGAAUGGCUACUUUCUACAUAUUCUGUCUUGUUCCAGGGAAGGACAUACCCUAAAAAAUGCAACACAAUUUGCCUGCUUAUUCCCUGAAGCACAGCACCCUUCAUAUUAGGAGCUUCAAGGAUGCUUUAAAAAUCCAAAAGCGUGACCGGGCGUGAUGGCUCACGCCUAUAAUCCCAGCACUUUGGGAGGCCAAGGCGGGCGGAUUACGAGGUCAGGAGAUCGAGACCAUCCUGCUAACACGGUGAAACCCGUCUCUACUAAAAAUACAAAAAAUUAGCUGGGUGUGGUGGUGGGUGCCUGUAGUCCCAGCUACUCGGGAGGCUGAGGCAGGAGAAUCACUUGAACCCUGGAGGCGGAGCUUGUAGUGAGCCGAGAUGGCGCCACUGCACUCUAGCCUGGGUGACGGAGCGAGACUCCAUCUCAAAAAAAAAAAAAUUCCAAAAGUGUAACCUCUAUUUCCUAAGCAUUCCUUCUUUCUUGAUGAUUCCUGAUAGAGUAAACCCAUCCACUUUUUAAACUCUCAUUUUCAGGAUCGGAGAAAUUUGCUAAUCUUCCUAUUAGCCCAACCCUGCCACCUUACUUCCUCCUUUUUGUCUCCCUCCUCAUUUCCCAGUCAGGUUUAGUAAAUGAAGAAUUAUUUCUUUGGAAUCAUAUGCCAUUCUAUCUCAUUUGUUUGUUGAAGAUGGCAAUCAAGGCUAGUACGAACAUCUUGUCGUAUUCCACAAUCCCUCUGCAGGCCUGAGAAGACUCACCAGCAAGAGAGGGAAAGAGAGACUCGAUAACAUCUACCAAAUGUGGCCGGCAUUUUGUUGGACGUUUUCGGCUUUAGUACCGAGGACGUUCCUGACAAAGACGGUGCAAUCACUUGAUGUUUGCUGAACGGGUGGAAAAUUGAGCUAAAGAAACCUCAGCCCCAUUUUCUGGGAACUAUUUCUCCCUGCCAUGGUAGUACUUAGAAGGGGGCAGGCAGCAUUUUGAAUAGACGCUGAGUGGCACUGAAAUUCUGACCCACUUUUAAUCAAUGCAAAGUUAAUUUUGUAUGUAUAUAAAAGGAACGCUAAUAAAGGUCAGGAAAAGAAAGAUAUUUUUAUAACUCAGUGAAAUAACUGAAAAGACAAUGAUUGCCCUCAGAAUUAAGAACACAAAAGACAAGCAUUGAAAACAUCAGGAAUUAUCUUCCAAAGCUGCUCAGGACUGGCCACGUAGCUCCAGUUGGGGAACUCAGACAAUAAGCAACAAUCCCCACAGCCAGUUCCACCUUUCACACAACUGAACCAGACCCAGGACAGACGGCAGGCGUUCUUUGUCAUGGGGUGGGAACUCACCCUAGAAAGCAAAGGACUCUCCAAGCCAGAGUGAGGUAAAUAAUUAAUGAGCAUUCCUGUCUCAAGGCCACGCCUUCCACCUGCAGUGGAGUCUUCCGCACCCAGCGCUUCGACCUUUACCAGCAGGCCUCCCCACCAGAUGCCCUGCACUGGAUACCUAAGCCUUGGGAAUGGACAGGGCCGCCACCUCGAGAAGGGCCCUCCCAAAAGGCAGAGGAGCCUGGGUCCCGAGGGGACAAGGAGCCUGGUUUGCCCCCACCCCACUGAGGGAGUUCCUCUUGCCCGCUACCCCCAGGGCUUGUAUAUAGAUUAUAAAUAUAUAAGGGGGAAAGGGGUGGCGAGGGAGGGGUUGUGGGGCUGGGGCCUCACUUCCCCUCCUCCCCCUUCCCCUGGUCCCCUGUCCCUGGGGCUAUUUGUUAAAAAAGAGUAAUAAAAGGAUUU
rnacentral:lncRNA from 1 species